GACGGAGGAUGAAAGCGUUAUCCGGAAUGAUUGGGCGUAAAGCGUCCGCAGGUGGCAGUUCAAGUCUGCUGUCAAAGACCGGGGCUUAACUUCGGAAAGGCAGUGGAAACUGAACAGCUAGAGUAUGGUAGGGGCAGAGGGAAUUCCUGGUGUAGCAGUGAAAUGCGUAGAGAUCGGGAGGAACAUCAGUUGCGAAGGCGGCUCUCUGGACCAGCACUGACACUGAGGCACGAAAGCGUGGGGAGCAAACAGG
rnacentral:rRNA from 1 species